rnacentral:misc_RNA from 1 species
AAAAUGCGAUAAGUAAUGUGAAUUGCAGAAUUCAGUGAAUCAUCGAAUCUUUGAACGCACAUUGCGCCCGCCAGUAUUCUGGCGGGCAUGCCUGUCUGAGCGUCAUUUCAACCCUCGGGACCCCGUUCGCGGGACCCGGCGUUGGGGAUCAGCCCGAAGCCCCCCGGGGCGGGCGGCUGGCCCCGAAAUCUAGUGGCGGUCCCCCCAGCGACCUCCUCUGCGCAGUAGUAACUCACCUCGCAGCUGGACAGCGGGAGGGCCACGCCGUAAAACCCCCAACUUCGCAAAGGUUGACCUCGGAUCAGGUAGGAAGACCCGCUGAACUUAAGC